GGUGAGGCAAAGAACCUCACCCCCCCACUGGUGCAAAGACCAAAUUUGGGGGCCAACAGAGGUGAGGCAAAGAACCUCACCCCCCCCACACACACUGGUGCAUAGGCCUAUCCACAAGUAUGGCUGUAUGCUGGUAGUCAGUGACAGGUAAGAUCCAAUUGCAGUGGUACCAACCUAAGACAGGAGGCUGAUGCCUUGAGGUCCGCUCAUCCGAUGACGGGUAAGGACCAUAUGUAGCAUUGGACAGCCCAACAGGCACGGUCCCUAAGCCACAUUGCUUGUUGUUUAAUUAAACAGAAGGGGGAGAUGUUGAGGGCCACAGACAAGUCGGGAUGACACAUGGCAUUUUUGCCAGAAGUAGUGGUUGAGAGGUGAUGCCAGCAAACCAUUAAGAUGAUGACUUUUGAGUUCUCGUGGAGUUCCUGUUGAGUUCUGGUUGAGCUCUUGCCGGGAUUCCUGAAGAGUUUGCAUUGGUUGGGCAAGUGCCGGAGGAGGAAUUUCCAAUUGGUGGUUCCUGGAGGAGCCGCGUGGCAUUCGGGAGAGUUCCUGGGGAGCGUGUGUGGAGUGUGCUGGUGGAGUUCAGAAAUAAAAUUUGUUCCUCUUGAGUGGCUCGUGAUUUGUGCCCAGUCAGGCUGCGGCAAAAAAUAAUUGUCCUCAUAAUCUGCUUUAUCUUUAGUCCUUCCUUACUUUUCUAUACAGAUUCUAUUUCCCAGGCUUUGCAGCUAAUCUCCUUACCUGAAUGCUUAUAUUUGUUAUAUUGUUAUAGUUAAAGCUUCAUCCAGGGUUUCAUAAACUGACUUCCAGAUCACUCACGUUUAAUAGAAUCAAGCGUUUAUUGAAACACACUAGUCGUGGUUGACCAGAACAUAAAGCUGUUCCCCUGAUCAACCCCAAACAAUUGCAAGGGCCCUCCUUAUAAGCCUGAAAACUGCAAAAGGGAUGUUCAGGGGGUCUAGCCAAAGCAAGCAAGCCAGGUUACAGAAGCGAGAUAGUGCAGCCAAGCGGAGGGAAGCCUAACCAAUCAAAGUUAGCCCAAUCACCCAAGGUACAGAAACAGAGCCCCGUUAUCCUAGUUACAGAAACAAUACCCAUUAGGUAGUUUUGUAUUCUUAAACGUUUCCAUAGCAAAAGGAAAAUAACAUCUUGCCCCAGUCAUGAC
rnacentral:lncRNA from 1 species